UACAGAGGGUGCGAGCGUUGUUCGGAAUUAUUGGGCGUAAAGAGCGUGUAGGCGGCUUUGCAGGUCCGCUGUGAAAACUCGAGGCUCAACCUCGAGCUGUCGGUGGAAACCGUAAAGCUAGAGUCCGGAAGAGGAGAGUGGAAUUCCCGGUGUAGCGGUGAAAUGCGCAGAUAUCGGGAAGAACACCCGUGGCGAAGGCGGCUCUCUGGGACGGUACUGACGCUGAGACGCGAAAGCGUGGGGAGCGAACAGG
rnacentral:rRNA from 1 species